rnacentral:rRNA from 1 species
AUCGGGGUAAGACUAAGCCAUGCAAGUUGGGCGCUCCCUAGCUAAGUUGGGAGAGCAGCGUACGGCUCCGUAAAACUUAGUUAAUCUGCCCUUAUGACGGAAAUAACCUUGGGAAACUGAGGCUAAUGUCCGAUAGAUGGAAACGUCUGGAAUGGCUUUCCGUUGAAAAGUUCUUGGGAACAUGCUCUCAAAAACGCGUAAGGAUGAGACUAUGUCCGAUCAGGUUGUUGGUGGGGUAACGGCCCACCAAGCCGAUAACCGGUACGGGCCCUGAGAGGGGUAGCCCGGAGAUGGGAACUGAGACAAGGUCCCAGGCCCUACGGGGUGCAGCAGGCGCGAAAACUCCACAAUACGCGAAAGCGUGAUGGGGUUACCCCGAGUGCCGUCCGUUGAGGAUGGCUUUUCUUCAUUGUAAUAAGCUGGAGGAAUAAAGGGGGGGCAAGACUGGUGUCAGCCGCCGCGGUAAUACCAGCCCCCUGAGUGAUAGGGACGAUUAUUUAGCCUAAAGCGUCCGUAGCCGGCUUGGUAAGUCCCUCGUGAAAUCCAACGACUCAAUCGUUGGGCGUGCGGGGGAUACUGCUAGGCUAGAGGGCGGGGGAGGUUGACGGUAUUCCUGGGGUAGGGGUGAAAUCCUAUAAUCCCGGGAGGACCACCAGUGGCGAAGGCGGUCAACUAGAACGCGCCUGACGGUGAGGGACGAAAGCUGGGGGAGCGAACCGGAUUAGACACCCGGGUAGUCCCAGCCGUAAACGAUGCGGGCUAGCUGUUGGGGCAGCCAUGAGCUGUUCCAGUGGCGCAGAGAAGUCGUUAAGCCCGCCGCUUGGGAAGUACGAUCGCAAGAUUGAAACUUAAAGGAAUUGGCGGGGGAGCACCACAAGGGGUGAAGCCUGCGGUUUAAUUGGAUUCAACGCCGGG